CGGUCAGUCCGCCGCGACCCCCAGGAGCCGCCGCCCGGGGUCCGGAGGGGGAUCGAGUUCCAGGUGCGGCCACUCGGCGCCCGGGCCCGAGGAGCAGGACAAGUCGCAAGGCCCGGGAACAUCACUUCAGGAGCACCCGUGUGUGAUGGUGAUGCCUUUGAACGUCAUGGGAUGAUGGUUGGAUUCUCUUCUGUUGGAGACGGUCAUUGCCCGACACUUGUGUGCUGACCUGAAUUAGGGGCUGUGCCUGAUUUAUCCGAAUUUUUUUAAUUGUUUUAACUCAAAAGAGUUACACUCAACUCUCGACAAGUGUAGGCUGCUCUCCAAACUCAAGCGGCUGAACUGAGGCACCUGCGUGUGGCAGAGAGAGAGAGAGAGAG